CGGGGCGUAGCGCAGCCUGGUAGCGCACUUGCCUGGGGGGCAAGGGGUCGCGAGUUCAAAUCUCGCCGUCCCGACCA
rnacentral:tRNA from 2 species